UUUAACUUUCAGGAAAAUCUGGAAGUAACCAUGACUACACAUGUUUUAAAUGUAUUCAAGCGAUUUUGUAUUUUAAUUUUUCACAAUAAAUUUUAUUAAUUUUUCUUGUUUGAUUAAUCUUGAUUAGUUUGAUUUCUUGUUUGAUUAGUCCUAUCAAAUAUUAGUCUAUAUUUUAUUUAUGUUUUUAUCUUUUACUGCAAAAUGAGCUGUGUGGCAAAAUUGCUCUCAGCAAAUUGCUUGCAGCAAAGAUGUUUAGGAGAAAAUCCCAGACAAGGCCCUAAGAAAGACACAUUUGCUGCUGCCAUUCAGCCCAAGCCUUCCAGACUGCAAUGAUGAUACUUAUGACUAAAUGACAGAAACUUUUUAAUUCUUUGCACCAAAAGGCCAGCACCUCUUCUGCCACACUUUCUGAAGGAUGGAUUUUGAAUUCUGUUUCUUUACAUGGAUCAACUACAAAUCAAAGACAUCUAUGGAUGUAUCUGAUUGUUCUUCCUUAUGUUGUUUCAACACAGUUCAUAGUCUUAUUCCAUGUGUUAGAAUAUAUUGACUGUUUCCAUUUUAAUGUUCAAAAUUAUCCAAAUUUGGUCAGCAAAAAGCCCCUUCAGGCAGGUCUGUGUUAUUUUGACAUGGGCACCUUAGAUUUGGAGCAUUCCCUUAAUUUAUGGCACAACAAGAAAUUUCAAGAACACCUAAAGCUUUUAUUGCCCCACAGCUAUAAUCAGCAUUUCUCCAAGAUUUACUAGUUCCUUUUAGAGAAAAAUAAAAUGGUGUUUAGAUGGCAGGAUCUAGACACUAGCAUAUUCAUUUCUUUAUUAGUGCCUCUAGUCCCUUGAAGUUGACAAAGCUAUGAAAUAUUUAUAUCUAUAUCUAUAUAUCUUGAUACCUUUAAUUCAAUCCAACAUUAUAGAAUUUUUCUUUUCCUAUUCUCAUUCCAUUAUUUUCUGUUUCUUCCCCCUCACUCUUUUGAUGCUUCAGCAUAGGCAGAAUUACUUACUUUCUCCAAAGAGGCAUAUCACAGCUCAGGGUUGGGUGGAGGAAUUACACUUCUGAUACCAUCAUCCCUGGUUGGGUGAUCAUCUCAGGCUUGCGCCCUCAAAGCCAAUCUUGACCCCUUAAUCAGGGUCCUCCACCUAUACUCGUUCUUAAGCUUCUCUUGAUUUAGUCAUUACAUCCAAUGUUUCCUGAUUCUGAUCCUUAUUUCCUCUUGGCUGGACCAUGUUAAUAGAGUCCCAUCUUGUAUUCUUAUCCACAUUGCCUUCAAUCGUAUCCACAUUCUAAGAUACAACUGCCAUGCAUUCCAUAGGCAAGUUGAUUUCAAGUCAGAAAAUACUCACUUUUCCAAAAGACUCAUGUUCACACUAAGUUUAGCGUUAAAUGUUUUUCUAGUCUAUUCCCACCCAGCUCCUUUUAGUACAUUCUAUGUGUCAGCUAAAAUUAAUGUCUUGCUUCUUAAGCAUUCUUUCUAUUUUCCUUGAGUUUAUCUUCUGUCUAGAUUUGUGCCAUAUAAUUUUUAAAAGUAUAAUUUCCCAUUCUAUUAUGCUAUUGCUCAGAAACUUUCCUUGACUUCUUAUAGCCUGACAAAACCAUGUAUCUGUGGAAGUCAUAUUCACCCUUAAGUUUCACUUCAAAUGCAAUUCUCUCCCAUCCACACCUACAGUCUUUACUGAAACCCAACUUGUAACUCACUAUGAACUGUAUUGAAUGCCUUUAGCAUUUCUUUAGCAUCAAAUUCAUAUGGUUCAAUAUUAAACUCACUUAUUAUGUCAUUUAGAAUUAGGCUUGCCAAAAUAUAACAUUGGAUUAAAAUGUUGAAGUUUGUUUUUCUCUCAUUAACAAUUCAAUGGGCAGUGCAGGGCUAGGAAUAGCUGCUUAUACCCUCAGAGACAUCACAAAUUCAUGCUACUUCCUUGUAGAACUCUCAUUCUUUUGUUAUAAGAUGGCAGCUAUAGAUUCAGUCCUUAUACAUGAAUUCUAGGUAACAGGAUGGAGGAAUAUGCAACAAAAUGAGGGAAAAGUAAUGCAUUUGAGAUAUAUUUUUUAAAUAAAUUCUGCAGAGGUAUUAUAUUCACACAAGAAAAUAUGCACAUUCUAAAUUAGAUAAAUUUUAACAAACACUGAUCAAUAACACAAUCAAGAUUUCUGUCAACCAGAAAGUUCCCUGUUACUCUUUUGCACUCAAUCAACCCAGCCUUGGCUCAUAUUAACAGACUAAGAGAAAAAAAAGGCAUCUGUGAAAAACCUAUAGCUAGCACUAUAUUUUAUAAGACUGUAUUCUUUCCCGUUACGGUCAGGAAAAAUGUAGGGAUGUUCACUAUCACCACUUUUAUUCAACAAUGCAAUAAAGAAAGAAAAAAUAAAUGAAAAGCAAACAUAGUGGAAAGUAAGAAAUGGCCUUUAUUUGCAGAAAACAUGAUCAUUUUAUAGAAAUCACUGGAAUUUAUUUUAAAAGCUUUUUGGAUGAAUAAUUGAGUUUAGAAGUUAAGAUAAAGGUCAAUAUACAGAAAUAAAUUGUAUUUCUACAAACUGUAUAUUGUUUUGUCAUUAUUUACUCAGAAAACUUUUAUGCUCCUUUCCUUCUACUCUUUUUUUGGGGGGGGAUUAUAUAUGUUAGAUGUUUGAUGUUGUCCCUCAGAUUACUGAGUCUCUUUAGUUUUUUCUUCUUUUUUUCUCUCAAUGCUUCAAUUUAGACAAUUUCUAUUGCUGUAUCUUAAGAC
rnacentral:lncRNA from 1 species